GAAGGUGGGACUGGCGAUUGGGACGAAGUCGUAACAAGGUAGCCGUACCGGAAGGUGCGGCUGGAUCACCUCCUUUCUAAGGAGCA
rnacentral:rRNA from 2 species